CGGGGGAUACUGCCAGACUUGGAACCGGGAGAGGUAAGAGUACUACAGGGGUAGGAGUGAAAUCUUGUAAUCCCGUGUGGGACCACCUGUGGCGAAGGCGUCUUACCAGAACGGGUUCGACGGUGAGGGACGAAAGCUGGGGGCACGAACCGGAUUAGAUACCCGGGUAGUCCCAGCCGUAAACGAUGCUCGCUAGGUGUCAGGCAUGGCGCGACCGUGUCUGGUGCCGCAGGGAAGCCGUGAAGCGAGCCACCUGGGAAGUACGGCCGCAAGGCUGAAACUUAAAGGAAUUGGCGGGGGAGCACAACAACGGGUGGAGCCCUGCGGUUUAAUUGGACUCAACGCCGGACAACUCACCGGGGGUCGACAGCAAUAUGUAGGCCAAGCUGAAGACUUUGCCUGAAUCGCUGAGAAGUGGUGCAUGG
rnacentral:rRNA from 1 species